rnacentral:rRNA from 1 species
UACGGAGGGUGCGAGCGUUGUCCGGAAUCACUGGGCGUAAAGGGCGCGUAGGUGGCCUGUGGAAGUCUGCGGUGAAAGCCCGGCGCUCAACGCCGGGUCGGCCGUGGAUACUCUCGGGCUUGAGCUUACUAGAGGCAGAUGGAAUUCCGGGUGUAGCGGUGGAAUGCGUAGAGAUCCGGAAGAACACCGGUGGCGAAGGCGGUCUGCUGGGGUAAUGCUGACACUGAUGCGCGACAGCGUGGGGAGCAAGCAGG